rnacentral:pre_miRNA from 1 species
CGCGGUCUUUGCUUCGCUAUUUGCUAUAUUGAAUGCAAAUAGCAUGCAUAGGCUGAGG